GCACUUGUAGCUCAGCUGGAUAGAGCGCUGCCCUCCGAAGGCAGAGGUCGAAGGUUCGAAUCCUUCCGAGUGCGCCA
rnacentral:tRNA from 1 species